rnacentral:rRNA from 1 species
AUUGAACGCUGGCGGCAGGCCUAACACAUGCAAGUCGAGCGGGGUUUUCGGACCUAGCGGCGGACGGGUGAGUAAUGCGUAGGAAGCUGCCCGAUAGAGGGGGAUACCAGUUGGAAACGACUGUUAAUACCGCAUAAUGUCUACGGACCAAAGUGUGGGACCUUCGGACCACAUGCUAUCGGAUGCGCCUACGUGGGAUUAGCCAGUUGGUGAGGUAAUGGCUCACCAGGGCGACGAUCUCUAGCUGGUUUGAGAGGAUGAUCAGCCACACUGGAACUGAGACACGGUCCAGACUCCUACGGGAGGCAGCAGUGGGGAAUAUUGGACAAUGGGCGCAAGCCUGAUCCAGCCAUGCCGCGUGUGUGAAGAAGGCCUUCGGGUUGUAAAGCACUUUUAGCGAGGAGGAAGGGUGGUGUGUUAAUAGCACAUCAUUUUGACGUUACUCGCAGAAGAAGCACCGGCUAACUCUGUGCCAGCCGCCGCCGUAAUAC